rnacentral:tRNA from 1 species
UGGCUCAGACGGUAAAGCAUCUGCUUGCAAUGCAGGAGACCCAGGUUCAACCCCUGG